CUGGCGGCAUGCCUUACACAUGCAAGUCGAACGGCAGCACGGGUGCUUGCACCUGGUGGCGAGUGGCGAACGGGUGAGUAAUAUAUCGGAACGUACCUUAUUGUGGGGGAUAACGCAGCGAAAGCUGUGCUAAUACCGCAUAAUCCCUGAGGGGGAAAGCGGGGACCGUAAGGCCUCGCGCGAUUAGAGCGGCCGAUAUCUGAUUAGCUUGUUGGUGGGGUAAAAGCCCACCAAGGCGACGAUCAGUAGCUGGUCUGAGAGGACGAUCAGCCACACUGGGACUGAGACACGGCCCAGACUCCUACGGGAGGCAGCAGUGGGGAAUUUUGGACAAUGGGGGCAACCCUGAUCCAGCAAUGCCGCGUGAGUGAAGAAGGCCUUCGGGUUGUAAAGCUCUUUUGUCAGGGAAGAAACAGCAGCUCUAACACAGUCUGCGAAUGACGGUACCUGAAGAAUAAGCACCGGCUAACUACGUG
rnacentral:rRNA from 1 species